rnacentral:rRNA from 1 species
AUGGCACUGCCCGGUAGCUAAAUGCGGAAGAGAUAAGUGCUGAAAGCAUCUAAGCACGAAACUUGCCCCGAGAUGAGUUCUCCCUGAGACUUUAAGUCUCCUGAAGGAACGUUAAAGACGAUGACGUUGAUAGGCCGGGUGUGUAAGCGCAGCGAUGCGUUGAGCUAACCGGUACUAAUGAACCGUGAGGCUUAACCUU